AGUCUUUUGCAGAUUUGGGUUAUGUUCAGUCAGUUCUGGGAAAUAAAACAGAAGUAGGUGAAGGAAAUAUUGUAUAUACGACAGCUGUUGUGAAAGUAAAGCCUCUAAUUUUAUUACAUUGGCCCACUACAUCAGAGAUGGAGGUUGGUGGUAUGGCAGUAGAUGUUGAACCUUCCCACCGAUACUCGGUUAUAUUUCAUUGGUAUGUGACAGGACACAGCAGGGGGACAGUCUGACACAAUGAUGUCCGACAUGGAAGUGCCCAUGAAGCAAAGGUGUGGAUUUGAAUUCCUCUAUGUGAAAAAAAAUAGCACUGACAUUCAUCGAUGCUGAAUGCUUGUGGAGACUAAGCAGUGGAUGUGACCACUGUGAUAUUGGGUGAGGUAGUGAGGUAGUGGGUGGUGCAUUGCAGCAGUGCCAACAGUGACAUGAAAGACAAGCCACAUUCCGGGCAGCCAACAUGUGAAUUCCCUUUCAAAAAAAGUUCAAGCUGUGGCCCUCAGAAGGUAAAGUGACAUUCACUGUCUUUUGGGAUAGAAGAGGGGUGAUUUCCUGGCACCUGGAUAAAGCAUCAGCUUUGACCACUACAUCCAAGAUGCUGACUAAGCUGAAGGCUCCUUGGAGAAUUGUCCUAGGACAGUAUAAGCCUGUUACAGGAAAUCAGGAGUUCAUCAUCAUAUCUGGUACAUAUUUUAAAUUUGUCACUAACUUUUAAUCUAUGAUUAAAGAGUCUGUUAUUACAAAUUUUAUGUGUAGAUCACAUUAUGUGACUUCAGUAUGAACCAGAAUGUUUAAUAAAACAUAAAACUGAGCUUCAGCUUUGCAGUUUUAACUACACUUAAUUUUUUUUACUCCCUAUUGAUUUAGAUUCUUCCCAGAUUUCAAACUUCCAUUUUUUUUCUUUCUUGUAACAUGGUCUUUUACUAUCUUCUAAGGAAGAUUAGAUCUUCAUGCUUAUCUCCCUUGAUGGGAAUUCUCUUGGUUGUUAUUAUAGAAGUUCUUUAUAGAUUUCCAGUAUGUGUAACAGUCUAACAAGUGUUCUUUAUUCUUUAGUUCCAUGAAUAUCAGAUCUAAUUAAAUUCAGUUGAAAGAUGAAACAACAGUUUUUUGCUAGUUUUUAAUCUCUACAGAGAAACUGCCUACAGCAAUUCUGCUUGGAAAAAAUAUGGAAAUAUUUUCACUGGCAUUUGCUGGUGGAAACCACUGAUUCAUUUCAUAGAAAUUAAUUUUGUUCAUUAAAGAACAAACAAAAAUAAAGGCUGUUACAUUUGAUCAUCAUUUGCAGGAGAGGAUACUAUAACUUGUGCCUGAGCAACAAGUUCAGAGACUCACCCUUGCUCUGUAUCUCACUAUGGAAAUAUCUGGCAAGUUGGACUAGAUUGAUUACGAGUCAAAUGAAUAAGCAACAAAAGCUGCAUAUGGCCAACCUUAUAAGAAUAAUGGCUUGUCAGCCAAAGAAAAUUUAUCUACCUUUUCAGUACCAGUGAAUUUGUAAUUAGUUUACUGUGUCCAGUUCAGGCACCCAGUCCCAGAAGAUGAUCUGGAAUGACAGAUACAUGGCCUGUUUGAUGUUGAGGGAACUGGGCUUCUUCAGUCUGGUGACAGAGGCUAAGGAGGACAGUUUAAUAGUUCCAUACAUGUAUUGAAAGGGAACAGAGCCAAAGAUAAUACACUGUACAUAAGCAGCCACAAGGUAGGCCAGCUUCAGCUUUAAUGUCAGGUGAAGUUCAGUCACUAGUGAUAGGGCAUUCCCAGAAAGAUGAUACAAUCUCUGUCCUUUGGGGUGUUCUAGAUCAAGUUAGACAAAGCCAUGACAGGGAUGAUGUGGUGCUGAGCCCUCCUGCUUUGAGCAGAAGGUUGGUUAGGGAGAGAACCAGAUGUUCCUUUCAAACAGCUCUCCCUCACCCACUGAGGUGAUUCCCUGCUUCGGCACAGAAUGUAUCCUCCCCUGAGCCGAGAGCCUCACAAAAACAUGCUGUGUUUUGGGGCCUGCAAGGUUGCCCUGCAUGCUGUCUGGUCCCCAGGCCAGGGCACGUCACUCUCUGUGAGGUGGCACUCCUCAGCGUGAUGUCACAAUGGCUGCCUCUUCCACCCCUGUGGCAGCGGUGGGAGCGGUGGCUCAGUCUCUUGUGAGAGGCGCAGGAAGAGGACCCAGAGAGAGCAUUGUGUCUAUCUGGAGAUAUCCUGCUGUGAUGGAGCGGCUGAGAGCCCUUCGAGGUCUCUUUGCCUGUGUGGGCUGCAUGCCCAGAUGUAGGCGUUGCAGGGAGAGAGGCAGGGCGGCAAGCCCUGUCCCCACCUGUGCCGUGACUUUGCUGCUACAGCGCCUGCAAGAUCAGGAGGGUGACCGAGCGCAGGCGUACUGUGACCUGGAACACGUCCUGUGGGAAGAUGACAGCCGCCCGCCGUGCGGAGUGGUGAACCGGCUGCUGGCUGAGGUGUCCCAGGACCUGACGGCAGCCCAGGGCGUGACAGGCAAUGUGAGGAUGGCUGCCAGCAAUGCCCUGGUGGCUCUGGCCCGGACACACUUCAGCUUGGUGAUGGCUGAGCUCCAGGGCCACCUGAAGGCCACAGGGGAGAUGUCCAAGGAGUUUGUGCUCAUCACCCUGAGCAAACUGUUCAGCUGCUACGCUCCACAGUGCAUCUCCUUCAUGUGGCAGACGCUGGCCGGCCUACGCAGUGUGGUGGGCCAGGUGAAGAGUGGCCAGACCCUGCAUGUUGCUUGUGCUGUUGUGAAACAAUGGUCAGAAGGAGUCAAGUUUCACUUGUCCUCUGGAAAGCAAUGCCCCUGGCCUGCCAUGGAGAAAGAGCAAAUCUAUGAGAAUCUUCACCAGCUCUUCUGCUCUGUGGUGAGGAACUGGCAGGACUGCAAGGAGGAAAAGGACAAAAAGGCCAUCCUCGGGGCUGUGGCUGCCAUGAUGGCUGUCCUCCUGCAAGAGGAGAUGCACCGAGAGCAAGUCUGGGAGCACCUCCUCUGGCUUGGGCACCUGUGUCAGGAGGUCCAAGACACCUUCAGGGUGGCCAAGAGCCUCAGUAUCUUCCUGGAGGCCUUGGAGGGAGUUGAGUGUGUUAUCCCCAAGGACAAGUUUCUGGCCAUCACCAGUGCUGUGUUCUACCAGCUCUCUGAUGAAACCAAGCAGCACAGCGAGACUGACAAAGUAGAGCUGACCCACUGCAUCCUGCUGCAGGCCCGGAUCUGCCCAGAGGAAACGGUCCUGUUUCUACAGUCGCAGCUGGGUAGUGAGAGGGAGGCUGGAUGCGUGGCAGCCCUGGGUCUGCUCGGUGCUCUGGCUCGCUCUGAUGAUCCUGUGAUGACAGAGAAGCUGCCCCAGGUUGCAGAGGCUGUGCAGUGUCUGUGCAGUGACCUCAGGAUCCGGGUGCGGAGGGCCAUUCUGCAUUUCAUCAAGGACAUGCUCAGUGCUAACGCCCGGAGCUGCUCAGCCUGGGAUGUGGUGGGGCACAUCUUCAGUGAGUUCAGCCGCACCAUGGGAAGAAGGGCAGCCGGAGACCUUUCUGCCCAGGAAGCCCAGGAAGAAGGAACUCUCCAAGAGCUGUGCAUGGACAUCCUGGGAUCACUGGAUGUCUCUGUGAGCGGGAUGUCCAAACUCCUGUGGCCCCGGCUGCUGCUGUACGUGGUGCCAGCCCAGUACACGGGCAUGCUGAUCCCAGUCUCCCAUUGCAUCCAAGCCCUGGCGCAGAGAGAGGAUCUGACAGAGCAGCAGAUAGAAGAACUGGAUUCCCAUUUUGUCAGCUCCAUAUUUCAAGGCCCAAUGCUGACUCCCCAGACACUGCUGGCACGCCUGUUGGUGGUGGCAGGGAGCCCUUUUGCAGGCAGCGAACUCCAAGCUGCUGCCUUGCUGCUUAUGCAAAACCUCCACAGCAGGAUCCACGGAGCUGUGGGGGCCAUAUGGGCUGCUGAGAUCCCCCUGCUGCUGCAGUACCUUGAAGGGAAAGAUGAGAGCGUCCUGGACUUUGCAGAGUGGGAGCACCAUCUGCUAAAGUUCCUGAGGGCAUCGCUGGAGACCGUGGAGGAUGAGGCCUGGACCGAGGCCCUGAGCUGCGAGUUGAGCCGGUGGUUGAGCAGCUCUCCCAGCGGCUCUGGAGAAAAGUCUUUCCUGUACAAGGCUCUGGGGACAGUGCUGGGAGCUUGUAAGGAAGUCCUCCACAUCCAAGAGAAGCUCCUGCAACACCUGGAGGAAGCAAACGCAGAGGAGCCAUCUGAGGCUCAGGGAAUGAUCUCUCUUCUCAGCCAUGCUGCUGAGAGCAACUUCCACACAGUCCUGGACACACUCACCAUGUUUGCAUCCAGGCUGUGCAAAGGCCAGAAUGCGAAGAUCUCCAGACACAAGAAGAUGGAGCUGGACAGCAGAAGAGCUCAGGCCACACGCAGCGCUCUCAUCCUCGCCCAUGGCAGCUUGGCACUGCGAGCCUCCAAGGAACAGCUGCUCGCCCACCUAGAGGGAGACAUUGUGGGCAACAUCCUGCUGCUCUACAGCUGCAGCUGCUGGGACUUGCAGAACAAGCUUGCGCUGGUGCAGAGCAUCACCGACUUGAGCUCUGCCUUCCAAGCUGUGGGUGACUCUGCCUGCUUUAACCUCUCCUUGAAGGGCAAGCUGCUGGAGAUCCUUAUGGACUUGCUGAAGAGGUAUUACUUGGGCACCCCUGUCUCCCCAGUGCCCCUCAAGGUGGUUCUGGCCCUGGAGCAGUUGAGCAAGCUGAAGCCAUCUUUAGAAAACAAGCACAUUUCUGAAAUGUUGGUUCUGUGCUGCAAGAACAUUGUGACACAUCCUUCAGCAGGGAUGAUGCUGAAGAUCAGGAAGUCACAGCAAGCAGCUCAGUACCUGCAGCUUCUGCAAACAUCGUUGAAAGCUCUGGCCAGGCUCAUGAUGGUCCUGCUUGAGACAGAGUCCAACCGUGGCUUCUUCCAGAACAUAGUCCAUGUCCUGCAGAGAUCUAUGACAUCAGACAACAUGUGGGAGCGCAAGAGGGCCCUGCAGACCUGCUCCCAGCUGCUGGCUGCUUGUGAAGAGCGUGGAAGAGGAGAUGCCUGCAAGCACUUUGGCUCCUUGGUGGGAUUGCUGGCACCUCUGACGUGUGACCCCAUGCCCACCUCCCGCCAGUUGGCUGUCACCUGCCUGAGCUCCCUUCUCCGAAUCCAAGCCAAGGUGACCAACAAAGCCAUCGAGACAGGAGACAUCAGGAGCCUGUGUGAGAGGCUGAAUGACUGCAGCACUGCCUGUCAGCUCCAGAACUCGUCCAAAAUCGCAAGGAUUGUGUGCAGAAACUUCCCCCUGGAACACACCACAGACUUCGUGAUGGCCAUCAAAGACACCUUCCAGAAGGCCAAAGGAACGCGUGUGCGUGCUGCUGGGAAGUGGCUGAUCACCUUUCUGCAGAUGUAUGGAAAGGACAUCUAUCGGGAUGAGCUACUGAUCCUGUACACUCUGCGCAGCUGCACGUUUUUCCCGCAGCAGAGCGCAUUCAUGCCUUUCGUGUUCCAGGCGGUGGUCAUCCUCACCCACUGUCAUGCAGAAGACACAAUUGACAACUUCUCCCGGCUGCCUAGGCCUACAGAAAGUGAGACGUGGAAGAGAAUAAUAGAGUUUUGUCUUCAACGGUGGAGACGGUAGAAGAAGAGAAGGGAAGGGAAGGGAAAGGAAGGGAAGUGAAGUGAAGCGAAGGGAAGUGAAUUGAAGCGAAGUGAAGAGAAAAGAAAAAAGAAGAGAAAAGGAGAAGAAAGGAAAAGAAGAAGGAAAAGGACAAGAGAAGAAAAGAGAAGAAAGGAAAAGAAAGGAAAGAA